rnacentral:misc_RNA from 1 species
UACAUGAUAGUCAGGUUAGGCUUCCUGGUUGCUGCUUCAGUUGCAGCCUAUGCAGUCGAGCAGCUUAAUGUCCAAACCUCGAGGUCAUCAACUGGUCGAAACAAGCCUUUAGAUAAUAAAUUCUGUAAGCUGCAUUACUCACUUUUUUUUUUAAUUUUUUUGUUGACCAUCCCACUUUUAUCAACACCUUAUGUAUAGAUGCGGCUUAUAAGGUUUGUGCUGAUGGCAUAUUUUAUAUCAAAGGCUACUUUUUGUCUUUGUCAUGUCCUUUUUAAUUUAUUUUGCCAUUGUUCAUGGUUGGCCUGGUGAAAUUGAAAAUCAGAAAAUGGUGAAGAAAGUGUUGAGCAACACUGAAUCAGGGGGAAAGAGAAGGAGUGGUUUACAUAUUCAGAUGCUAGCCUCAGAGAGAAGGAUGGGGAGGAAGAGGAAGAGGAAGAGGA